rnacentral:rRNA from 1 species
UACGUAGGUCCCGAGCGUUGUCCGGAUUUAUUGGGCGUAAAGCGAGCGCAGGUGGUUUAUUAAGUCUGGUGUAAAAGGCAGUGGCUCAACCAUUGUAUGCAUUGGGAACUGGUAGACUUGAGUGCAGGAGAGGAGAGUGGAAUUCCAUGUGUAGCGGUGAGAUGCGUAGAUAUAUGGAGGAACACCGGUGGCGAAAGCGGCUCUCUGGCCUGUAACUGACACUGAGGCUCGAAAGCGUGGGGAGCAAACAGG